AAUAUUAAUUCCGAAUGAGGGUUUACACGGGAGAUCAGUUCAAUCGCCUUUAUUCAGGUCUGCGCAAGGUUUGGGGCAGGGAAGGUUUCUGAUUGGAUAGGGGGCGGGGCGGAUGUUACGUGUUUUACGUUUACAGGAAGAAAACACUGUAGUCCUCGCUCCGGAUAACAAGAUGCUUGACGACGCAGUUCUUAGUGCCUUUUUCGGGCUUGUUUUGCUUAUAUUGUUGAAGCAGCAGUACGACAACAACCUUGUUCUGCUAAUGCUUCAUCCGUUGAGCAGGAGAAGGGAGGUAGAAGACCGUGCUGUGGCGAAUGGAAACCGGUGAGUGCAACGAGUCCGACUGCUCUAGCUCAGCCCGUUGCUAUGCAGCCCGUUGCUAUGCGCGCUAUUACGUCAUCGCACCAGAAGGGCAAGGAAACGAGCAUGCGCAGGAAGACCGGAAUGAACUUAAAGAGGAAUGAGUGUAUACAUGCACACAAAAUUCUUUCAUUCGGAAUGACAAACGGAAUAAACCACCCCCUUUAAUCGGAUUUAAUUUUCAAUCGGAAUGACCGUUUACAUGACCACUUUUAAUCGGAAUGGCGUUUCAUUCCGAUUAAAAGUGGAAUUAAACUGUCCAUGUAAACGUACUGAGUGUCAAAACAGAACAUACCCGAGUCGUCUGUCGAGUCGUCUGAGUUUUAAUUGAGGAAACGCGUGACGAUAUAUAUUUGUGUGUGUGUGCAUAUAUAUUUCCUCUUUUGUUUUUUAAUAUCUUACACCAAAGAUGUGACACCCAUGUGAUUGUGUGAUUGUUGACCAUUUAAUGCAAAAAUCAUGAGCACUAAUAGGAAGCUGUUGUUGAUCUGAUCAAUUAAGGAUAAAUCAGGUGCUAAUUGGCUGAGCCCAGCAAGCAAAGCUUGUGGCCAACUAGCCUGAUUACACCAUUUUUGGGAAACCUAUAUAAGGUUGUGCAAAACUUACAGCAGUGUUGAGAACAGGGAGAAAUCUUGUUGGACAGAAAACAACAGAAAAUAAUCAAAGACAAAAAGUUGUAAAGGAAAUCAUGGACUACAAAGUCCAUAUUUUUCCAGACGGACUUACAAAGCACCAGCGCUACACAAUUAAAAGAAGAGCUUCGUACUUUGUGCUCAAGGGUAAGUAAUGUUAUACCUUCAACCAAAAUAAGUAGCCUACAUUUGCUCUUUUAUAUCAUAAUAAAAUUGACUUUUCUUUUGACCAGAUGGAGUUCUGCACUACAUUUGCAGAAGGAGAAAGGACAAGGAAGAACACCUUGCAAAAGUAGUACUGCCAGCUGCUGAGGCAAAUUACAUAUUUCAGGAGUUUCACUGUAGCAGCCUUGGGGCUCACUGUUGCGUAGAGAAAACGCACCACGCCACAAUCAGCUGCUAUUACUGGCCUUGUAUGGAAGCUGACAUUUGCAAAUGAUUAAGUUAAAAUGGUCACCCAAAUUUACCUCAGUUUUUUAGCUUACAUGAAGGCCUACUCUAUAAUUAACUGAAUUUAAUCCAAACACUUGUAUGUCAUAUAUCAUUCUCACUGUUUCUGCUUGGCUAAGGCAUAUGAUAUAGAUUAAUGUGAAUAAAAUUCUGCUUAAGGUUGCUCAGUGUCCUGAUUGUCAGGCAAAGCGAGCUUGUCUUAAGGAAAAAGUGUCAGUAUAACCCAAUAGAGGUGAGGUUAUUUGUGCAAUUCAAUGUUCCAUGCUAAGCCAAAUGCUUACAUACCAGUCAUUUCCUAUACAGAUGUCUAAUUAUUUAACUCUUUCAGGUAUCACAGCCAUUUGAGCUGGUCGGCAUGGACCUAGUCAAACUCACGGUACCAGAAGGUGGUAAUCAAUACAUUUGUGUAAUGGUUGAUUAUUUCACAAAGUAGGCAGAGGCCUACGUUCUGAAGCAUAAGUCUGCAGAGGAGGUGACCAAUUGUAUUUUUGAUUUUGUAUACAAAUUUGGUGCACCUCAGAGACUGCUUACAGACCAGGGGACAGAGUUCAAAAAUCAGGUAGAACACUCAUGAUCAAUAAUUUUUAUGUCUUAGCAAGCAAUAUUGUGAAUGCAGAUUUUUUUUUUCUUUUCUGCUAAAUAAAUUUAAGCUGAAUGACAUACUCUGUGAGGCCCUGAGUAUACAGAGGUGCUUUGUUCAUCCUAUCACCCUCAAACAAAUGGCUUGGUUGAGAAACUUAAUGGCACCAUCCAGAGCAAGGAAGAACCCCAAAAAUUGGGAUAACUAUCUUCAGGGGACCAUGUUUGGCAUUAGAACCAAAAAGCAGCUGACGACACAACACAGUCCAUACUACCUGAUGUUUGGCAGGAAGGCCAGAUACCCAUCUGAGGUGCCUCAGGAGUAUGAAGUGACAGAAGAGAGAUUGGAGCGCCUUGUGAAAAAGGAGGAGGUCUUUGAAGGACUCCGAAAUCAAACAACUGUCUACGAAAAGGUCAGAAAAAAAUGUCAGGAAAAGAUCUGUAAAAGCAGGCUCCAGAGAGGAUGGGAGGACAACUUCAAUGUUGGUGAUGUUGUACUGGGAAAAAAACCCCAUAAGAGAACAGCAACACAAAGGAGGGAAAAUGGAGAGUGGCAUGCUAGGUCAAUUUACCAUCACGGACAUGAGAGGAAAAAUUGAUUACCUUGCGAGCCCAUCAUCUGAAACAGUGAAAGCAAGUCCAAAACAGCUCAAUGUGAUGGAAUGGGACACAUUAAUUGGGGCCGUGCAAGGACAGACAUUGGAGUCUUGUAGGCUUUCAUGUGGACAAACCUGGGCCUAAACUUACCCAGGUGGUCCUGUGACACAGUCCAACAUCCCCAUCAGCAGGAUUCCACAUCCUGUGGAGUGCUGGACUGCAAAGUUGCAGAGCUGCUGCUUGAAGGCAGCAGCGUACAAUUUAAUGUAGACGAGGACAACAUCAACUCCAUGCGGAUGGAAAUGGCCAGGAGACUGAUUGAUGAUUCUGUCAACCUAACAGAACUGUGCAGAAUCUGCGGGGAAACAGAGUCUGGAGACAGGGACACCUCAGAUGCACCUGUGGAUCAAUGGAUUGAGUGCUCUCACUGGUUCCAUUGGGUGUGUGUGGCAAGGCCUAAUAUAAAUGACAUUUUUUUUAUGUCCAGCCUGUUCACCUCCCACCUAAAUUCAAUUUGGUUGUCCCUGUCUCACCUGACAUUGGAACCCGUCCACUUCCUCCUCACUGCCCAGGUCAACACCAGCUGAACAUCAGCUCCCCCCAUCAAAACAGCACAGCAGAGGAUGUACUUGCUGCAGCUGCUGAAGGGGUUCAAGCUGCCAAAGACAAUGAUAGUUCACUUAUACUGCCAUCAUCAAGUCCAUCCUCACCACCUCCAUCAGCAUCUGGUAUAUGGCUGUGACAGCCAAAGACAAGGGUGCGCUGCAACAUUAUCAUCCCUGUGCUGAGAAGAUGAUGGGCCGUAACCUGCCAUCAUAUUCCAGUUGUGAUUGCUAUUCCAAGAGAAUUGGAUUUUGUGUGCUCAUUAUUUUUACAUGAGUUUUCCCUUGAGGAUGUCAAAUGAUUUACAGAUAAGAUGUCAGGCACAAAUUUGAUUUUUGCCUGUCCUGAAUAAAGUGAA